AUUGAACGCUGGCGGCAUGCCUUACACAUGCAAGUCGAACGGCAGCACGGGAGCAAUCCUGGUGGCGAGUGGCGAACGGGUGAGUAAAGCAUCGGAACGUGCCCAGUCGUGGGGGAUAACGUAGCGAAAGCUACGCUAAUACCGCAUACGAUCUGUGGAUGAAAGCGGGGGACCGUAAGGCCUCGCGCGAUUGGAGCGGCCGAUGUCAGAUUAGGUAGUUGGUGAGGUAAAGGCUCACCAAGCCGACGACCUGUAGCUGGUCUGAGAGGACGACCAGCGACACUGGGACUGGGACACGGCCCAGACUCCUACGGGAGGCAGCAGUGGGGAAUUUUGGACAAUGGGCGCAAGCCUGAUCCAGCAAUGCCGCGUGCAGGAUGAAGGCCUUCGGGUUGUAAACUGCUUUUGUACGGAGCGAAACGGCUUCCACUAAUACUGGGGGCUAAUGACGGUACCGUAAGAAUAAGCACCGGCUAACUACGUGCCAGCAGCCGCCGUAACAC
rnacentral:rRNA from 1 species